rnacentral:rRNA from 1 species
UACGUAGGGGGCAAGCGUUGUCCGGAAUUAUUGGGCGUAAAGAGCUCGUAGGCGGUGUGUCACGUCGGCCGUGAAAACCUGCAGCUUAACUGUGGGCGUGCGGUCGAUACGGGCAUCACUGGAGUUCGGCAGGGGAGACUGGAAUUCCUGGUGUAGCGGUGAAAUGCGCAGAUAUCAGGAGGAACACCGGUGGCGAAGGCGGGUCUCGUGGGCCGAGUACUGACGCUGGAGGAGCGAAAGCGUGGGGAGCGAACAGG